rnacentral:rRNA from 1 species
AGUGAACGCUGGCGGUAGGCCUAACACAUGCAAGUCGAACGGCAGCACAGUAAGAGCUUGCUCUUACGGGUGGCGAGUGGCGGACGGUUGAGGAAAACAACGGAAUCUACUUUUUCGUGGGGGAUCACGUAGGGAAACUUACGCUAAUACCGCAUACUACCUACGGGUGAAAGAAGGGGAUCUUCGGACCUUGCGCGAUUGAAUGAGCCGAUGCCGGAUUAGCUUGUUGGCGGGGGAAAUGCCCACCAAGGCGACGAUCCGUAGCUGGUCUGAGAGGAUGAUCAGCCACACUGGAACGGAGACACGGUCCAGACUCCUACGGGAGGGAGCAGUGGGGAAUAGUGGACAAUGGGCGCAAGCCUGAUCCAGCCAUACCGCGUGGGUGAAGAAGGCCCUCGGGUUGUAAAGCCCUUUUGUUGGGAAAGAAAAGCAGCAGGUUAAUACCCCGCUGUUCUGACGGUACCCAAAGAAUAAGCACCGGCUAACUUCGUG